GAGUUUGAUCAUGGCUCAGGAUGAACGCUAGCGGCAGGCUUAACACAUGCAAGUCGAGGGGUAUAGGUUUUCGGACCUAGAGACCGGCGCACGGGUGCGUAACGCGUAUGCAAUCUACCUUUUACAGAGGGAUAGCCCAGAGAAAUUUGGAUUAAUACCUCAUAGUAUUAUGAUAAGGCAUCUUAUUAUAAUUAAAGUUUCAACGGUAAAAGAUGAGCAUGCGUCCCAUUAGCUAGAUGGUAAGGUAACGGCUUACCAUGGCGACGAUGGGUAGGGGUCCUGAGAGGGAGAUCCCCCACACUGGUACUGAGACACGGACCAGACUCCUACGGGAGGCAGCAGUGAGGAAUAUUGGUCAAUGGGCGCAAGCCUGAACCAGCCAUGCCGCGUGCAGGAUGACGGUCCUAUGGAUUGUAAACUGCUUUUG
rnacentral:rRNA from 1 species